UGUUAAGGAAAUUAAGACACAUUAAUGAUUAAUUGCUUUUUCUCUAAUUGUUUCUCUUUUUCUCUCAGUAUUAUGCACAAAGAUGGGAAAAUGUGAUUUCGACCGGCAAUUUAAAAUCAUAUACAAUCGCUCGUAUUUCGUUGUUUUUGCUUGGAACAAUACAAAAAAGUGUCAUUCAAAAGCUAAAACCUAGUGUUUAAUUACCACAAUAAAAAAAUAUUGAAAUCUGUGCACAGGG